rnacentral:rRNA from 1 species
AUACGGAGGAUCCGAGCGUUAUCCGGAUUUAUUGGGUUUAAAGGGUGCGCAGGCGGCCAUUUAAGUCAGCGGUUAAAUCGUGGGGCUCAACCCCAUUCUGCCGUUGAUACUGGGUGGCUUGAUUGCGGUCGAGGUUGGCGGAAUUCGUUGUGUAGCGGUGAAAUGCAUAGAUAUGACGAAGAACACCGAUUGCGUAGGCAGCUGACCAGACCGCAAAUGACGCUCAUGCACGAAAGUGCGGGGAUCGAACAGGAUUAGAUACCCUGGUAGUCCGCACAGUAAACGAUGAAUACUUGUUUUCGGCGAUAUAAUGUCGGAGGCAAAGCGAAAGCGAUAAGUAUUCCACCUGGGGAGUACGCCGGCGACGGUGAAACUCAAAGGAAUUGACGGGG